rnacentral:rRNA from 1 species
CCUACGGGUGGCAGCAGUGGGGAAUAUUGCACAAUGGGCGCAAGCCUGAUGCAGCCAUGCCGCGUGUGUGAAGAAGGCCUUCGGGUUGUAAAGCACUUUCAGCGGGGAGGAAGGCGGUGAGGUUAAUAACCUCAUCGAUUGACGUUACCCGCAGAAGAAGCACCGGCUAACUCCGUGCCAGCAGCCGCGGUAAUACGGAGGGUGCAAGCGUUAAUCGGAAUUACUGGGCGUAAAGCGCACGCAGGCGGUCUGUCAAGUCGGAUGUGAAAUCCCCGGGCUCAACCUGGGAACUGCAUUCGAAACUGGCAGGCUAGAGUCUUGUAGAGGGGGGUAGAAUUCCAGGUGUAGCGGUGAAAUGCGUAGAGAUCUGGAGGAAUACCGGUGGCGAAGGCGACCCCCUGGACAAAGACUGACGCUCAGGUGCGAAAGCGUGGGGAGCAAACAGGAUUAGAUACCCCGGUAGUC